rnacentral:rRNA from 1 species
AACGAACGCUGGCGGCGUGGAUAAGACAUGCAAGUCGAACGCUGAUUUCAAGGUAGCAAUAUUUUGAAGUUGGAGUGGCGCAAGGGUGUGUAACACGUGGGUAAUCUGCCGUGAAGCCUGGGAUAACUUGCUGAAAGGCGAGCUAAUACCGGAUGUGAAAAUCGGAAGGCAUCUUUUGAUUUUCAAAGUUGGGGACCGCAAGGCCUGACGCUUUAUGAUGAACCCGCGGCCUAUCAGCUAGUUGGUGAGGUAAUAGCUCACCAAGGCUAAGACGGGUAGCUGGUCUGAGAGGACGACCAGCCACACUGGAAC